ACGAACGCUGGCGGCGUGCUUAACACCUGCAAGUCGAACGAUGAAGAAAAGAAUUGAAGCUUCGGCAGAAAUUCAUUUCGGAUUAGUGGCAGACGGGUGAGUAACGCGUGAGCAACCUACCUCUUACAAAGGGAUAGCCUCGGGAAACCGGGAUUAAUACCAUAUAACAUUGCGACGAAGCAUUUCGAUGCAAUCAAAGCUACGGCGGUAAGAGAUGGGCUCGCGUCCCAUUAACCAGAUGGUGAGGUAACGGCUCACCAUAGUAACGAUGGGUAACCGGCCUGAGAGGGUGAACGGUCACACUGGAACUGAGACACGGUCCAGACUCCUACGGGAGGCAGCAGUGGGGAAUAUUGCACAAUGGAGGGAACUCUGAUGCAGCGACGCCGCGUGAGUGAUGAAGGAAUUCGUUUCGUAAAACUCUGUUCUAUGGGAAGAAAAGGACUGUACCAUAGGAGAAAGCUCCGGCUAAAUACGUG
rnacentral:rRNA from 1 species